ACAUACGACCAUAGACUCAAGAGAAUUGGGCAUCCCGUCCGCUCUGCCAUACACAAGCUUGAGAUCGGUGGAUUAGUAGUUGGGUGGGUGAGAUCGGUGGAUUAGUAGUUGGGUGGGUGACCACCAGCGAAUACCCACUGUUGUAUGUU
rnacentral:rRNA from 1 species